CCAACCCGCGUUAAUGUCACAUUCGUUUUGGCUCCGCCUAGAGGAUACAGCUCCGCCUCUGAAAAUUGUACGGUCAGACAGCUGAUCCUGAGCGGACUCGUGUCUGAUUCGCAUACGCGGACGCGACAAACCAAACCGGCGCGCGCCGCCUAGAGUUAUAGGCUCCGCCUACGCGCGCUGAGCCGACCAAUGUCUGCACCCGCAGAUGUGGACGCGCCUACUAGCAUGUACGCGCAUGAGCCAAGAUCUCUGGACUUUCUUUGCUGGAACACGAAGGUAAGUAUAGAUUUAUUGCUACAUUCGCAGUAAAGAUCAGCCUUUGUGUUUCCAUCAUCAUUUAUGUAUGAUUGUAAUGACGUUGUUUGAUAUUAGGACUAGCAGUAAAACUUUAUAUUCUGUAAAAAAAGGCUUUAUUUCCAGCGCCGCCUCCCAGAAUGCUUUGCAUGGGGACGUGCGUCUGACGUCACGUCACAAAAUUCGAAAUGGCUGCACGCGGUAGGUGAGGCCCGAGCGAAGAAAAGUGGAAAAGAGUGUUAUUCGUCAAAAAACCCACACAACGACGGUCAUUUUUUCGCCGUGCUAUUGUAAAAUUGUCUUUUAUCUGUGUUUUGUGUUCCGGGGGACCCCGACUCCAGAAUGUGAAAGUUUCCCGCGUGAAGCCGUGGAGCUCGAGAUCCUGUUUACUGUGGACUAGCUGUGUGUGACGCCAUGUUGUUUUUGUUUCCAUUACAAAAAAAAAGCUCCACCGUCUCGCAGAGUGCCAGCAAGAGUCAUGAGUACUUGUCAACUCGACUCCUCAACUGGAGAUAACUUUCUAGCACCUCACCAUGGGGAAGGAUGUAUUCAUAUGCCUUCACUAGCACAUGCAUUUAACAUGCAGAGAGUUACACAAGUUCUUACCACCUUGGGGCACCAUUCAGGGUGCCUUUUCAUCUGAUUAAAUUUAUAAUGAACAGAGACAUUGCGGUUGUCCCAAGUGGAUGGUAUGAUGAUAGGAUGGUUUUCUGGCCCAGCUAUAAAAACACCGACAGAAUUGAAAGGGCCGCUUUAAAUGAGGAGCAGCAUGAGCCAAACUGGCCAAGAUUUGACGUUUCUGUUGUCCGAACUUGUGGUAUGCAAAUUCAUAAUCUUCUUGUUUAAAAAUAACGUCAUAGUUGCUUCUCUUUAUGCUUGGAAUAACCUAUUGUGUCUAUGUUCUGACCAGGUCUCUUGUAAGAGAGAGACCUGAUUUAUCAUCAUCAAUAAUAAUAAUAUUCUGUUCAGCUCUACAGCUAAUUUGAAACUCAUGUUCAUUUUAACAUAUUCAAUUUUAGACAACUACAAAGACGCAUUAAAAAUAAUGCAACAAUAUGGAAAGGGCUGCAACACCUCAGACCUGCAAUCUGAGGCAGAGAACGAGGAGCUGCCAGAAAAAAGGAACAGGAAGCCAGUCCAUCGUCUCGGGGACUCAGAUGAUAGCGAAGAAGACCCGGGAAAUAGUGACCUCACAUCUCUGGGGUUGGCAAGCCAAUUGCACAGGCAGACUCCACCGUCUCGCAGAGUGCCAGCAAGAGUCAUGAGUACUCGACUCCUCAACUGGAGAUAACUUUCUAGCACCUCACCAUGGGGAAGGACGCAUUCAUAUGCCUUCACCAGCACAUGCAUUAAACAUGCAGAGAGUUACACAAGGAACGGCAGUCCCUCCUCGACUCCCUCCACCCCCCUCACCAGCAGCCCUCAACAUGUGGCAGACCCAGGAGCCUGGAUCCAGCCUGGCCUACAGGCCAACAUGGCAAAGGGGGAAGAAUGGCCGACAACAUUUCCUGCUCUGCGCCUGAGGUAAUCCACAUCCUUAGCCUGCUGGAAACCAGAGGUGUGGACUCGAGUCACAUGACUUGGACUCGAGUCAGACUCGAGUCAUGAAUUUGAUGACUUUAGACUCGACUUGACAAAAUGUAAAGAGACUUGCAACUCGACUUAGACUUUAACAUCAAUGACUUGUGACUUCACUUGGACUUGAGCCUUUUGACUUGACAUGACUUGCUACUUUCCCCAAAACCUAAAGCUUAAAAAGUUAUUUGGGAGCGCUCCGUAGCUUUCAUUUUGUACGUGUCUGUCUAUCAGCGUGUGUGCUGCGUGUCAGCGUGUGUGCUGCGUGUCAGCGUGUGUGCUCGCAGUACAACAGCCAAUCAAAUUAGAUCUACAUUGUUUUCAUCACACAGCAUUCAGCCAAUCAAAUUGCAGGACAACCAAUGAACAAGAGUUGUCAAACAACGCGCCAGUGAGAAAUAUUUAUACCAAAGUUGGUUUCGUUCGGGUAUAAAAACUACGACUUGGUCAACGAAUUGCCCUAUGCAAAUCACGCAGUUCGAAUAUUACAGACGGAGACGCAACAACUUCCAACUUCGUUCGACAUUUGAAGUUGCACAAAGAAGGGUAAGUUUUGAAUGUAAGAUAACGUUUAUUGGCUAAGUAACAUGACUUUUAUUUGCUGUGUAGUUAAAUCAGUGAGGCUGUAAACUCACUGCUAACGUCAUAACCAUAGACAUCUUAUAAGGGUACACAGCAUCGAGCGCUACUGCCUACUGGCGCAGACGAGACGCGGGGCCGCCAUCUUGGAGUGGUGAUCCGCUCCACUCAGUGCAAUUCAUUUGGCAGGAGCAAUGAACUGUCAACGCAUUUAAUUCAUUUUACCUCACUGAAUACCACUGAUUUUCACGCACUUUUUUGUCAUACGUGUAGCUAUGAUAACGGACACAUGUUUUAGUAUUCAUAGUUUGCUUAACAGUAAUAGAAUAUUCUUAUACGCUAUAAAUGACUAGACGUCCGAGAUUUAAACUGGGAAUAUAAUCCCAGAGAAGGGGGGAAAAACGGUCAGCUAUUUUUAAAUUGAAGAAACAAUAUGAUUACGUUAUAUAUACAUGCUACAUAAACAAUGUAUGAAUACAUUAGAUAUCUAUAUAUCUUAUAGACCGUAUCUCUGUUGCUGCAGCAGCAGAGUUUAUUCUGUCGUGACACUUUGUAUUGAUAUUUUGUAUUACAUUCUUCCCUUAAAUGAUCAUGUUUACAGUGAUUGUUAUAUAUGUAUUUUUUAUGUAUGUCGCUUUGGUUAAAAGCGUCUGCCAAAUACUUAAACAUAUAUAAACACCUGAAAGUCUUUAUAUCAGCUAAAACCACCAAUCUGUUUCACUGGAUUCAGAAUAAAACCAAAUUCUGUUUUACCCAACAAUGUUAGUAUUUGAAUAUUGUUACUUGAAGACUUAUUCCUGGUUACAAUUAUACUGUUAAGAAAGUAUUGUCUUAUAUUUUGCCUAAAAUGAGAAUGCAUCAUAAUCAAUGGCGGCUGGUGAAUUUUGUUUUAGGUGGGGCAGAAAGUUUGUAAACCAAACCCCUGUAGGGGCAUCAUCCUCCCCCAGAAGAUUUAUUUGUGAUUUUCACAUACAAAUAUUGAAGAUCUUUGCUCCUUCUCAACUCUGUGGUAAUGUUAUUUUCAUAAAAUACAACCAAUAGUAAAUUAAUGUUAAAUCUUACUUGUGAAAAGUAAUCCCCCGAUUCCUAUUUUCAACAGUCCGCUCAUUUGAGCAGGGAAACGCUGAACACCAGCCCGGCAUCUUUGUUUUCUACCUGUCAACUGUCAGUUUAGGCUGCUCGCCGGCUCCUCAUCACCACUUCAAGAUGCAAAUUGCUCGCGUCACAGCAACCAAUAUUGCGUUUUCUUAUACGAUGUUUAUGGUUAUAACGUCAUUUCAAACACGGCAAUAUGUUGCGUCCACUGCAGUUUGCUACCUUAUUCAUACUUUUUGUCAAGUGAUUUUUUAAGCAGGGUUGCAUGAGGUACCUAUACAUAACGUUACGUUAGUCAAUGUAUCACACACAGUAACAUAACGUUAGACGGCGGUCAGCAGCACCACAUAUUUUAGCCACCUACAAAAAGAUAAACAUAGUCAAAUAAAGGUCAGUUAAAAUAUAUACUAUAUUAAGAAUAUGUGUACAUAUUGCAUAGGGCCCUGACAUCUAAAAAGUACAACUCUGUUCAUUGUUAUGUUCAUGUAUUUGUUAUGUUUUUCAUGUGUACGCACACAUCAACACACAUACAGUAUGAUGAGAUCAAUGAGAUAAGGUAAGAACAGGAUAUAAACUGCUGUGGAACUAGUUACAAUGCAAUAUGCCAUGGAAAUACAAUGUUAACACUUUUGUACAAAUAAGUACAGUUGCACUUGUUUUUGCAAAUGUGUUUAUUCUGUAAAGGAAUGAGUUAAAUGUUUAAAAUUGUUUAAACUAUUAAAAUGACUGGUUAAUAGUGCUAUUAUGAAUUGCAAUGUCAGUACUAUUUUCUUUCCUGCUAUUUCAAAUGCACUUGUUUUAAUAAAUAAAUACAGCGGUUUAAAAGCAUACACAAUAUGUGUAAAAAUAUUAGUCUGUGGUCAAAAGGACUUGAAAGGACUCGAAACUCAAAAUGCAGGACUUGUGACUUGACUUGAGACUUUCCAGUCUUGACUUUGGACUUGACUCGGGACUUGAAUGUCUUGACUCGGGACUUGACUCGAGACUUGAGGGCAAAGACUUGAGACUUACUUGUGACUUGCAAAGCAAUGACUUGGUCCCACCUCUGCUGGAAACUAUUAAGCACAACCAAGACCAGCUGAUUGCAAAGGUGCUGUGAGUAAAAAUGUGUUGACAAGGUCAGCCACGGACGCUGAGGUCACCAAACACGCCAUCAGGUGGUUCAACUUGGCGGGGGAUCGGGCAACGAGGAGACGAGUCCCGCUUCCACCUCCUCAGGAGGAAUAGAGAUGUAUAUGUAUAAAUA